GACAGAGGGUGCAAACGUUGUUCGGAAUUACUGGGCGUAAAGCGCGUGUAGGCGGCUCUGCAAGUCGGAUGUGAAAUCCCACGGCUCAACCAUGGAAGUGCAUUCGAAACUGCAGGGCUAGAGUCCUGGAGAGGAAGGUGGAAUGCUUGGUGUAGAGGUGAAAUUCGUAGAUAUCGAGAGGAACACCUGCGGCGAAGGCGGGUUGCUGGGCUGAUACUGACGCUGAGGCGCGAAAGCCAGGGGAGCGAACGGG
rnacentral:rRNA from 1 species